CACUGCAACCAAAAUACCCUGAGAGCACCAGAUUCUGUCUAAUCUUGGAAACUAAGAAAGGUCAGCCCUGAUUAGUACUUGGAUGGGAGGCCACCAAUGAAUACCAGAUACUGAAGGCU
rnacentral:rRNA from 1 species